CUCCUGUGAUGCGUUCUGCUUUAUGACGUUGUGUCUGGGCCACUGAUGCUCCAUGAUGGUAAUGAGGAUCUGAGGAA
rfam:Picoides pubescens contig64996, whole genome shotgun sequence.